rnacentral:rRNA from 1 species
UCGGGAAUAUUGCGCAAUGGAGGAAACUCUGACGCAGUGACGCCGCGUGCAGGAAGAAGGUUUUCGGAUUGUAAACUGCUUUAGACAGGGAAGAUAAUGACAGUACCUGUAGAAUAAGCUCCGGCUAACUACGUGCCAGCAGCCGCGGUAAUACGUAGGGAGCAAGCGUUAUCCGGAUUUAUUGGGUGUAAAGGGUGCGUAGACGGGAGAACAAGUUGGUUGUGAAAUCCCUCGGCUUAACUGAGGAACUGCAACCAAAACUAUUUUUCUUGAGUGCUGGAGAGGAAAGUGGAAUUCCUAGUGUAGCGGUGAAAUGCGUAGAUAUUAGGAGGAACACCAGUGGCGAAGGCGACUUUCUGGACAGUAACUGACGUUGAGGCACGAAAGUGUGGGGAGCAAACA